rnacentral:rRNA from 1 species
UACAGAGGGUGCGAGCGUUGUCCGGAAUCACUGGGCGUAAAGCGCGUGUAGGCGGCUUGGUAAGUCCGUUCUGAAAGCCCGGGGCUCAACCCCGGGAGGCGGAUGGAUACUGCUGAGCUCGAGUCCGGAAGAGGCGAGUGGAAUUCCUGGUGUAGCGGUGAAAUGCGCAGAUAUCAGGAGGAACACCAAUGGCGAAGGCAGCUCGCUGGGACGGUACUGACGCUGAGACGCGAAAGCGUGGGGAGCAAACAGG